AUUGUAGUUCAAUCGGUC
rnacentral:siRNA from 1 species